rnacentral:rRNA from 1 species
UACGUAGGGGGCUAGCGUUGUCCGGAAUCAUUGGGCGUAAAGCGCGCGUAGGCGGCCAGAUAAGUCCGGUGUGAAAGUCACAGGCUCAACCUGUGAAUGCCGACUGGAACUGUCUGGCUUCGAGGUCCGGAAGGGGCGAGUGGAAUUCCUGGUGUAGCGGUGAAAUGCGCAGAUAUCAGGAGGAACACCAAUGGCGAAGGCAGCUCGCUGGAACGGUACUGACGCUGGAGGCGCGAAAGCGUGGGGAGCAAACAGG